AUUAACCCUAACGAGACCAAGCACGAACCGAAAAGUUAGGCGCAGCGUCUGCCUUCACACUCCGCGCGGCCGACUCCGUUCCGUCUCCUCCUGAUUCAAGAGGGAUUGUCUCGACGACGGCCGGAUCACAGAGGGGAGGCAGAAUGAAUUGGAUCAGCCGAAAGAUCCAUCUCUACAACGUCACCAUGGGGCUCUACAUGCUCGAUUGGUGGGAGCGAUACCUGUUUAAUAUAUUGAUUCUUGUACUGCUCUGGUUUAUCUUCCACAAUGGCUCCAGAUCCGCCGCUGAGUUCUACAACGGCUACCUCAAGUCCAAGGUAUUGUCUGGCCAAAUGUUGGAAGUCAGAGGGAAUAUAACUUCUUAAAGAU